UAGGGAAUCUUCGGCAAUGGGGGCAACCCUGACCGAGCAACGCCGCGUGAGUGAAGAAGGUUUUCGGAUCGUAAAGCUCUGUUGUAAGAGAAGAACGUGUGUGAGAGUGGAAAGUUCACACAGUGACGGUAACUUACCAGAAAGGGACGGCUAACUACGUGCCAGCAGCCGCGGUAAUACGUAGGUCCCGAGCGUUGUCCGGAUUUAUUGGGCGUAAAGCGAGCGCAGGCGGUUUAAUAAGUCUGAAGUUAAAGGCAGUGGCUUAACCAUUGUUCGCUUUGGAAACUGUUAGGCUGGAGUGCAGAAGGGGAGAGUGGAAUUCCAUGUGUAGCGGUGAAAUGCGUAGAUAUAUGGAGGAACACCGGUGGCGGAAGCGGCUCUCUGGUCUGUAGCUGACGCUGAGGCUCGAAAGCGUGGGGGGCAAACAGG
rnacentral:rRNA from 1 species